ACCUUUCGAGGUUGUAGUGCAACGGGAGAAGAGAAGAGAUGAUUUUCAAUUCUUCAGCAGACGUUCAGUUUUGAUUAUUUUGUUUGUUGGUUAAAUAUUACUGUUCUUGCUAACGAGUUUAUUGUUUUUUCUUUUCGGGGGUUUAAACUUUAUUAUGUUUUACAUUUUUAUUUACUUUUCUAUCCAUUAAGUUUAAAAAAAUUAUCAGUUAUAGUUUGUUAAAUCCUUCUUACUUAAUUGGUAAUAACUAAUAACUUGUUUACCUUUGAUUUUAUUAAUUUUUAGAAUCUUGAAGAAGCAGCCAUUUUGGAAACUCUAUCCAUAUUUUCCCGCUCUGCACCGACGGUACAAUAAUAAACAGACAUUAUUUUUCUCAUCCCAGACUCCUCAUAUUUCCUAGCAGUGCUCCAUCCGAUACCUAUCCGCAUUGAAGAUAAAGGCAAUGCCACACAGGAUAUUCAUUUAUGGCCACGGAAAUACGCACUGAACCAGAAGCAGGCAAUAAUCGCAGGCGCUCGUCUGUUCGAUCAUCUCCAACAAACAGCCGAAUAUGACACUCGAUUGUCGAUUACCAUAAACGGUCGUACGAGUAAUAUCCGUCCUGUGAAAACGAUCGCAUCAUCACCGGGAACGGGCGCGAACGGAACGGUUCCCAUCCCAGUUGCGGCGCGAAAGAUGAAACCUUCGCCGGUGUUUGCAGAAAUAAAUAAAAUAUCCGGAAAUGAGCCGCACUAAAGUGAGCACCGGGAUGUGCGGUCAUAUUCUCGUGCACAUCUUCACGAGGCCUGCCUGCCUGCCUGCUGUUGGUCCUGUGCUGUUGGAGGAUUAUGACCGUGGAUUAUGACAUACGAGAGGGUGCAGUAAAAGCGAUUACACCCCAAAACAUUCCAUCACAGCAAGAGGACACACACGGGCACAUAAUGACGGUGAGGUGACAACGCAAAAGGGCAACUGUGUACGCUGGACGGCAUAAGAGCAGCAACGCUCAUCAAUACGACGACGACGAGGCUGCAAUUGUCGAACGUACCCGGCAAGAUGCGGCCAUCUUGAAGGUGCUGAAACGGAGCUGUGGUGUGUAUUUUGACACCUUUAUUUUCGGAGGCUGGCGGACCGUUUGUUGUUUACCUGCGGAUGGAUAUGUACACCGUUUGACACGGUUUUCUUAUCGGCGGCAUUCUUUGGCUGCUGCCGGGGACUCCUCCGCAACUGGGUUGUCACCCGAAAAAAGGUUGUGAAAGAAAGAAAGUCCGAGCGUCGGUAGCGUACCGGCGUACAACACAGUGAUCGAGAGAAUAGAAGAAUACCCCCUGGGAGUGGAAGGAACUGCUGGCAACGGUCUGGAACGGAGAGUGCGGGUUGCCGCCUCGUACGAACAGCUGCCGUUUGGAAGUUUACGGUUGAUUUGGCAUAGUUCCAGUUCCAGUUUGCCUAUUCGAAUUCUUCAACUAAUUAGUACGUCUCGUUGCAGCUACUUCGUGACUCCGUGAAGCAACUCCGCGUUGUCGCAGUAUCGGGCAGUAAAUCUUCCCCGUCCCGUGGUUACAAGCUACGGGACUUGAAAAAUUCAGUCAAGCGACACUCCAGAGAGCAAUAGGGCGCGCUGGGUGACGAGCCUUCGGUGCCGGGACCAACCAGUGAUAUCCGAACUGCAACAGUCAUUCUUCGCGAAAGGGAACAGCUCCAUGCUCACUGGCAAGAUGUAGUCCAAAACGAUAAACCAGCGACCUCUCGAUUGAACUGCCGAGUUUGUCAACGGUUCGACGAGACAAUGUCACUCCCAGAUUUUGUUGCCUUUUUCGUCUCACUAUCAGUCACCACGGCACAAGCCCUUCGAGGUUUAUGCAAAUAAUUAUGCUUAAACUGUGCUUUCUGUUUGCGAAGGGUAAUGAAUGCAUCGUGCGGAUCAAUUGCAUAGAAGAAAACCAAAAACAAAACCUCCAAAUACCUACGGACGGGCGAAACUAAUUGCACAACCGAAGGACAUUUCAUUCCCAACCCAUUCGGCCAGCUUGCUACUGCUGGUUGCACGCUGGAAUGAGGCUAGAAAGGCUUGGUUCCGAUGGGAUUGGCACCACCGUUUUGGCAUAUACGUGUGUGUUUGAUUCACCUCACGCUGCUGCUGAUCGAGUACGUUAGUCGCGGUAGUUCAUGGCAUAAUUAAAAGCAUCGGUUUUAUGCUACCGUUUAGAGUGAGACAAAAAAACAACCAAAUUCAGCCCUUUUUUCUGUCUUCUUUUCGGUGAGGUUAUCUGCAUAUGCGGGGUUUUGGAGCUUAACGGGGUUUGUCGUUUUAGGGGACACCCAGCAUUCGGAAUUGAUUCCAUAGGUCAUCUGUUGAGCAAAUAGCGCCGCGAACAAAGCGACGCCGAACGCUGAUCGGGUACGUGUGUGUGUGUGUGUGUGUGUGUGUGUGUGGAGUUGCAUAGAAUGAGACGCGAUUUAUGCUAAUUUUAACAUUAUGCUCCUCUUACUUUGCUUUGCGGCAAGUGAACACGCUUGUUAAGGGAAUGGAAUGAAAUGACAUGAGGGUUGUUUGUUUGGUAGCAGGUUAUGCUUGUAGCGAUUUUGUAUAUCAUGGGAAUGUUUCACUUCUGAUAUUUUUCGGGCCGAUAUUAUUUUUUAUUUUCAGCUUAGAACAUCUUUAGCUAUUAAUAACAUCUGCACUAUCCGAUGAUUUAUUCUUAAGACCAACAUAGAACUGAUGCAUGGUUCUCUGGCGCUCUUGGCAAAACCUCCAUCUGCUUUUCUGAAUAUCAGCAACAAAUCGCUAGGAGAUUCGGGUUUGUAAGGUUUAUUCAAAAAUAUUCAAUUUUGAGGUUUGCACAUUUCAAUAUCUGAAAACGGUGCAGGUUCGUUGAAGACUUUAGAAUAUUUCAGAGCAAAAUCAGUAGCAUGGUUCUGUAGUUUUCUCCAUUUCAGCGUCCACUUCACACAAUAAUUUUUAACUGCGGCUUACUAAAUCGACUUGCACAAAAUGUUUGCGUAUGUUGGUCAGAGUUGAUACUGCUUCUUCUUCCCCAAUGGCCUAACGACCUCUUAGGUUAUGCCUGCCAUUUUUGGCUUACUAGACUUAUCGAUACCGCUAAGUUGGAUAGUAAGUCCUCACUAUGGGGGAACGGCCCAGAUAAGAUUUAAGCCACGGUCCUGCCCUGUGAAGACCAGCGCCGUUGUCACGUCUUCUACCAUGCCGCCCUUACGUAGAAAAUUAUUUUGGAUUUAGUUUUUUUGAGGUACAAUUUAUCAUGGUCAGUCAAACCAUUGAAUUCUUAUUCUUCUUGACUUGAUUUUACCCGAGACAAUCUGGAUGGGAUUUGAAACCCCGGUCCUGCCGUGUGAAGACCGGCUCCGUUAUCACAUCGGCCACCUCGACCAUCGACCGCCCCUUAAAAUUAUUAAAUUAAAUACUAAAUACUAAAUUUCUAAGACAUCCGGAAAUUUUAUUUCUUUAUUUACUGUAUUUAGAAUUUGUUCUGGGGCCUUAGUGUGUGGUCUUCACUCGGUAGGACCGAGGAUUGAAUUCAUUUGAAGAACAGACUACUCAACUACGGAGUAUCAAUAUGUCUGGUUAGCCAGAUUGGAUGGUGGGUAUGACCUAGCAGGCCGUUAAGUAAUAUGAAUAUGAAGAAGAAAUUGUUCUUACACCUGUUUGCUUCGACUCACGAGCUGCCUGCUUCGAUUUGCGUGCCAUUACCAUCGAAAGAGCGACCCUAUGGUCGAAUCGCAUGCCGUUACUAUGGAAUCACGUGCCGAUAUCUAUGGAUUUGUGAAUGUUAGCACAUUUCAAAUUCGCUUCUUCUCUCGAAGCAAUGGUUUUUUUUUCUUAUCGCUUAAACAUACGGAUAAUUUUAACGACUAAACGCAAUAGAAAGCAUUAUUUAAAACUAUAUUACACGUGUUUUACAUAUUGUGUCAAAGCAAAAAUGAACGAUACAUACAAACUAUUUCAUGGAAUUCAAUGAAAAAUAUUGAAAAAGAAAAAAAUGAACUAAUAGCUUCAUGAACUUUUCUAAAUUUUCUUCGCCGUUCAAACCCGUCCAUUUCCGCUAGUUUAAUGUAUAAAUCACCACCAAACUCUGAAAAACUAGUCUUGUGUAUCGAUACUGUUCGAUGUUGGUAUUGUACUACACAUUUUUUCGUCAUUUACGGUUUAUUAGCCGCUUGUUCGUAUAAAAAUGCUGACGAAAUGUUUUCUAAUCGUAACGAACUAACCGGUCUGUUCAUUACACCAAAUGCAUCAUACAGGAGCAAUCAAAAAUCCAUGUAUAUCGGCACGUGAUUCCAUGGAAACGGCAUGUGAUUCGGUCGUCGUGUCGCGCAUUCGAUGGAAACGGCACGCAAAUCGAAACAAGCAGCUCAUGAGUCGCAGCAAACGGUGAGCGAUUCGACUGUAACUGUAAACAGGUGUAUCUACAUACUUUUUUAGAUGAUUUAUCUUUUUAUCGAUUAACUGGCUGCAUUCAGAGCUUUUCGUAACUCAAAUAUAUGUAACGUAAAGUAUAGAGAAGCUUUUGUGUAAAUUAGGUACUAUUUAUUAAAAUUCUUUUCAUAUUUUGUUUAUAUCUGAUUGAUAUGAUUGAUACCUUACAAAAUGACUUUAUCUUCAGCAAUUCAACUGAGACUGACUGUGACUGAAUUGAACCAUAUUUACCACCGGUCACGAAUUUUAGUUUGAACCAUCUUAUUUCCUAUCGAUUCCACCAAACUCUCCUACUGCAGCGUGUGAAGAUUUCUCACAGCGUAAACAACUUUCGGUAAUUUCCUCGCUUCAUUUCUAACCUCAACUAUCAUUCAGACAAAAGUACGUAAACGUACGGCGAUUAUGAAACGCCCAGCACAACGGUAGCAUCGAACCGGGAGUAGCACACAGGAUGGAGCCAUUUUUAUUGAUACAGCUGCACAUCGUCUAAACGGCAAUCAUUAGUGCUGUCUCCGACGACGACGACGACGACGAUCCGGAUCGUUUGUGACACAUUAGAAACACAUACGCCACAUCGGUUUUGCUUUCACAAUUUCUCACAUUACAAACAUCCACCGCAUCUCACCACCCCCUCGAUCGUCUGUGUAAGUAGAGUGAUGCUCUACAUAUUUCCCAUGGAUUCUUCUACUUUUUACACCUUCUCCGUUCUAGCUCUGGACUGUGUGGAUAGAGCACAUGGAACGGAACAUGCAAGAGCUACAAUGGGAAGAGUGCUUUCCAAACAACGGUAGCGUACGGUUGCCUCCACACGGCUACUGUGUGUGUGUGUAUGUUUGCUUAAGAAUGUCUCAAUCAUCGCUUCUUCGCUGCAUAAAGGCUGUCAUCGGAUCUCGGUUGCUCUGUUCACCGUCCUGUUUUCUUCGCAUAUGCAAACAAAUCAUCAGCAUCGCGAUGGAGGAAGCACCACUGUCAGUGGUUCGAAGCGAGACCUCUUCUUCGACGUGUUAACGGUUAUGACAUCAUCUCAUCUUGAGAACAGUUUUUAAACUGGCCCCACACACCGGUGGGAACCUUGGAAGCGAUGUCGGGUGUGUAUGAGCCGCAGCAAAUUAGUCUAAUGAUGCGUGCCAUAUCCGAAAGCCAUCAACUUCAGUCUCCACUAGUGGUGCAACUAUUUUCAGGUUUUUGGAAGAAGAUUUAUGUGUUCGCAAGAAGUUUCCGUACCACCGUACAGCAUCGCAAUGUUAAUCGUGGUCCCGUCUUCGUUCCCCAUGCCAGGUAGCCGUCUUCUCCUCCGCAAGGAACGGGGCAAAACCCGGUCCGACCUUAAGAGACCUCCAUAAUUAAUGGUGACAACACUGCUUUGGUGUGCAAUUAUUUAUAGCGCUGGUGUGUGUGUGUACCGGAGUCGAGUGCAGCCACUUGAUGGAGUAUGAAUGGCUUAUUAAAUGCAUUCGCAGCAUGCACAUACCGGCAACACCGCAAAGAAUGUGUACUCCGUGGUAUCCACCCACACGGGGGCUGGCCCCGAGUGCGUGUGCAUUCUCUUGCCCCGUGGACAACAUCUUCUCGCUAUCCGGGCCGCUACCGAGCAGCGGGAAACAGUGAAGAGGCACACGCAACUGAUACACACCCGCUGCAAAGUGCUACUGCUUCAUUAAAUCUUGCUCACCUUUGCCUUGUUGCUGGCGGUUCAAGGUAUCUCGGUUAAACCUUGCUUCUCCUGGACGGAUAAAAGCAGCAAAGACGUAACCUCCUGCCGCGUGCGCCAUUUUUACUUCUCCAUUCUUCUUAACCUCACGCGGCAAGGAAUCACCGACGCUUUAUUAUGUUGUCACUUUGCAGUAGUAAAUAAAAUAAAUAUAUGACCCUAAC